AAAAAGGAAAUCUUUAGUGAAGAAGGCAUCAUUUUGCAGUUCCCUGGGGGAUGAAAACAACCUUGAUUGAGGUCAUCACCAGCUCAAAGCAAGGAUGAUGCUGAUGACUGAGCAUUCUCUAAGGAGGCUGCAAGAAAACAGCGGUGGGUAAAACACUGAUCAGCACUUAGUUUCAGAUUCAACAGUCAUUAGUCUUACUGAGUUAUUAAUAUAGCAAAUUAUUCAGAAUUUGACUAUUUCCUUCUACACUUAGCAAAG
rnacentral:lncRNA from 1 species